rnacentral:rRNA from 1 species
UACGGAGGGUGCAAGCGUUGCUCGGAAUUAUUGGGCGUAAAGGGCAGGUAGGUGGUCUCAUUUGUCCGGGGUGAAAUCCUUGAGCUUAACUCAAGAAGUGCCCCGGAGACGGUGAGACUAGAGUUUUGGAGAGGGUCGUGGAAUUCCCGGUGUAGCGGUGAAAUGCGUAGAUAUCGAGAGGAACACCUGCGGCGAAGGCGGGUUGCUGGGCUGACACUGACGCUGAUGCGCGAAAGCCAGGGGAGCGAACGGG